GUGUCAGCCGCCGCGGUAAGACGGAGGGUGCUAGCGUUGUUCGGAAUCACUGGGCGUAAAGGGCGCGUAGGCGGCUGUGGCAGUCGGGUGUGAAAGCCCGGAGCUCAACUCCGGAACGGCACUCGAGACGCCACGGCUGGAGGCCGGAAGAGGAGGGUGGAAUACCCAGUGUAGAGGUGAAAUUCGUAGAUAUUGGGUGGAACACCGGUGGCGAAAGCGGCUCUCUGGUCCGGACCUGACGCUGAGGCGCGAAAGCGUGGGGAGCAAACAGGAUUAGAUACCCCUGUAGUCC
rnacentral:rRNA from 1 species